CAGAGGGUAGUUUAAUUAAAAUAUUAAUUUUGGAGAUUAAUGAUAAAAGAUGUUUUCUCUCUGA
rnacentral:tRNA from 1 species